GAUGAACGCUGGCGGCGUGCCUAAUACAUGCAAGUCGAGCGAACGGACGAGAAGCUUGCUUCUCUGAUGUUAGCGGCGGACGGGUGAGUAACACGUGGAUAACCUACCUAUAAGACUGGGAUAACUUCGGGAAACCGGAGCUAAUACCGGAUAAUAUUUUGAACCGCAUGGUUCAAAAGUGAAAGACGGUCUUGCUGUCACUUAUAGAUGGAUCCGCGCUGCAUUAGCUAGUUGGUAAGGUAACGGCUUACCAAGGCAACGAUGCAUAGCCGACCUGAGAGGGUGAUCGGCCACACUGGAACUGAGACACGGUCCAGACUCCUACGGGAGGCAGCAGUAGGGAAUCUUCCGCAAUGGGCGAAAGCCUGACGGAGCAACGCCGCGUGAGUGAUGAAGGUCUUCGGAUCGUAAAACUCUGUUAUUAGGGAAGAACAUAUGUGUAAGUAACUGUGCACAUCUUGACGGUACUUAAUCAGAAAGCCACGGCUAACUACGUG
rnacentral:rRNA from 1 species